rnacentral:rRNA from 1 species
AUUGAACGCUGGCGGCAGGCCUAACACAUGCAAGUCGAACGAGUGGCGGACGGGUGAGUAAUGUCUGGGAAACUGCCUGAUGGAGGGGGAUAACUACUGGAAACGGUAGCUAAUACCGCAUACCAUCGGAUGUGCCCAGAUGGGAUUGGCUAGUAGGUGGGGUAAAGGCUCACCUAGGCGACGAUCCCUAGCUGGUCUGAGAGGAUGACCGGACACACGGGAACUGAGACACGGUCCAGACUCCUACGGGAGGCAGCAGGGGGGAAUAUUGCACAAGGGGGGCAAGCCGGAUGCAGCAAUGCCGCGUGUGGGAAGAAGGCCUUCGGGUUGUAAAGUACGUUCAGCGGGGAGGCGUUACCCACAGAGGAAGCACCGGCUAACUCCGUGCCAGCAGCCGCGGUAAUAC